GAGGGUAUAGCUCAGUGGUGUAGCACAUGCUUAGCAUGCAUGAAGUCCUGGGUUCAAUUCCUAGUACCCUCA
rnacentral:tRNA from 1 species